CGAACGCUGGCGGCGUGCUUAACACAUGCAAGUCGAACGGUAAGGCCCUUCGGGGUACACGAGUGGCGAACGGGUGAGUAACACGUGGGUGAUCUGCCCUGCACUUUGGGAUAAGCCUGGGAAACUGGGUCUAAUACCGAAUAGGACUCCGGACUGCAUGGUGUGUGGUGGAAAGCUUUUGCGGUGUGGGAUGGGCCCGCGGCCUAUCAGCUUGUUGGUGGGGUGAUGGCCUACCAAGGCGACGACGGGUAGCCGGCCUGAGAGGGUGACCGGCCACACUGGGACUGAGAUACGGCCCAGACUCCUACGGGAGGCAGCAGUGGGGAAUAUUGCACAAUGGGCGCAAGCCUGAUGCAGCGACGCCGCGUGAGGGAUGACGGCCUUCGGGUUGUAAACCUCUUUCAGCACAGACGAAGCGCAAGUGACGGUAUGUGCAGAAGAAGGACCGGCCAACUACGUGCCAGCAGCCGCGGUAAUACGUAGGGUCCGAGCGUUGUCCGGAAUUACUGGGCGUAAAGAGCUCGUAGGCGGUGUGUCGCGUCGGCCGUGAAAACCUGGGGCUCAACUCUGGGCGUGCGGUCGAUACGGGCAACUUGAGUUCGGCAGGGGAGACUGGAAUUCCUGGUGUAGCGGUGAAAUGCGCAGAUAUCAGGAGGAACACCGGUGGCGAAGGCGGGUCUCUGGGCCGAUACUGACGCUGAGGAGCGAAAGCAUGGGUAGCGAACAGGAUUAGAUACCCUGGUAGUCCAUGCCGUAAACGUUGGGCGCUAGGUGUGGGGUCCAUUCCACGGGUUCCGUGCCGCAGCUAACGCAUUAAGCGCCCCGCCUGGGGAGUACGGCCGCAAGGCUAAAACUCAAAGGAAUUGACGGGGGCCCGCACAAGCGGCGGAGCAUGUGGAUUAAUUCGAUGCGA
rnacentral:rRNA from 1 species